AACAAGUUAUAACAGAGAUCACCAGGCCUGUUCUCCCGCACAUCACGAACCAGGACUAGGAUAGACGAUAGUUUGGCGGCGCGCUAGGGUUUGCAGCCGCCAGAGAAAUCGACCUGCCGGCUCCGUCCCCUGCUUCUCCCGCCACCGGGACAUCUUGUCCCCCCGCCCAAUCUGCUACUCCUCCGCUGGGGCCUGUUUAUUGAGCCAUCGGAUCUGCUCAACACCGCGCCGCUCCCUGUUGCUCCUCCUCCCCCAAGCCUGUCCACCCAGCUCUCUCAACCCAAGGGAGACUCUGACUGGAAGAUGCAGGAAACCAACAGAAACACCAGAAUCAGCUCAACCGAUAUGGGCGACGCCGGAUGGAGCCAACUCAGCCAAGAACUCGCGUCAAAGCUGUCUCCAACCAUCGUCGCGCUCGCCUCAUUCGAUGACGGGACCAUGUAUCGGCAAUCCACGGGCAUAGUUAUUGUAGGAGUAUAUGUGACAUAUGUAUAUGUAUACAUCAUACCACCUAUGUAUUGUACUGCUUAACAAUUUGUAUGUACCAGAAGGACUGAGAUGUAAAAGGGGAGAAGUAGAAGAAAUAAAAGAAAGAAAAGCAGAGGAGAAGAUAAGCCUCUGUUCCUCA